ACCAGAGCACCGAGAAAGUUAACUUCCAACUGAUUCUUAAGCUGCCCAUACGUUUGCCAUUCGAAUUCGCCGAAGACCAUCACGGCUGCGUUAUUGAUUACACAUCGUAACACUGGAAUCGAUAUUCUAUUAUAUAGACUAUGGUUAUAAAUUACCCAUAUUAGUGACAAUGGUUACCUGAGAUCCGUGAAACGAAACAAGUGACACAAGAUAUGGUUAGUAUUUCAGCUGUUAUAUGAGCCGCUCAAAAGCAGAAAGCAGAAAAGGAAAGUAAUGAUAUUAAAAGUUCUAUAUUUUAGCUUA